rnacentral:lncRNA from 1 species
UAAAGGCCCACAUUUUAUUGGGCUUGGGAUACAAUCCGACCCAUGAGAAGGUGGAGGGAGACUCUUGAUCGGGUCUUCUCCCUCCCUGUUUCAAACCCAUCUUCCUCCUCCCGAAUCCACCAGAAAAAAAAAAAAAAACAGAGGGAAAAGGGGGAUUAAAUCUUACCUAAAUUGAACCAAACUCCAUCUAUAAAAGAUCCCUUUCUCCUCAUCCUAGGGCAUCAACC